CAUACGGGGAGCUUGAUCGGUGCAAUACGCACUGUGCGGCUGAGAGGGAGCGCGACUCCGACCCGAUGAACCUGUCUGGAUAAUGCCAACGAAGGGAAUUUGAU
rnacentral:ncRNA from 1 species